AUUGAACGCUAGCGGGAUGCUUUACACAUGCAAGUCGAACGGCAGCGCGGACUUCGGUCUGGCGGCGAGUGGCGAACGGGUGAGUAAUGUAUCGGAACGUGCCCAGUAGCGGGGGAUAACUACGCGAAAGCGUAGCUAAUACCGCAUACGCCCUACGGGGGAAAGCAGGGGAUCGUAAGACCUUGCACUAUUGGAGCGGCCGAUAUCGGAUUAGCUAGUUGGUGAGGUAACGGCUCACCAAGGCGACGAUCCGUAGCUGGUUUGAGAGGACGACCAGCCACACUGGGACUGAGACACGGCCCAGACUCCUACGGGAGGCAGCAGUGGGGAAUUUUGGACAAUGGGGGCAAGCCUGAUCCAGCAAUGCCGCGUGUGCGAUGAAGGCCUUCGGGUUGUAAAGCACUUUUGGCAGGAAAGAAACGGCGCGGGCUAAUACCCCGUGGAACUGACGGUACCUGCAGAAUAAGCACCGGCUAACUACGUG
rnacentral:rRNA from 1 species